rnacentral:rRNA from 1 species
GACGAACGCUGGCGGCGUGCCUAAUACAUGCAAGUCGAACGGAAAGGCCCGGCUUUUGUGGGGUGCUCGAGUGGCGAACGGGUGAGUAACACGUGAGUAACCUGCCCUUGACUGUGGGAUAACUUUAGGAAACUGGGGCUAAUACCGCAUAGGAGCUCCUGCUGCAUGGUGGGGGUUGGAAAGAUUCGGCGGUUGGGGAUGGACUCGCGGCUUAUCAGCUUGCUGGUGGGGUAGUGGCUUACCAAGGCUUUGACGGGUAGCCGGCCUGGGCGGGUGACCGGCCACAUUGGGCCUGAGGUAGGGCCCAGACUCCUACGGGAGGCAGCAGUGGGGAACAUUGCGCAAUGGGCGGAAGCCUGAUACAGCAACGCCGCGUUCGGGAUGACGGCCUUCGGGGUGUAAACCGCUUUCGCCUGUGACGAAGAGUGAGUGACGGUAAUGGAUAAGGAAGCACCGGCUAACUACGUG